rnacentral:rRNA from 1 species
AUUGAACGCUGGCGGCAUGCCUUACACAUGCAAGUCGAACGGCAGCACGGGAGCAAUCCUGGUGGCGAGUGGCGAACGGGUGAGUAAUAUAUCGGAACGUGCCCGGUCGUGGGGGAUAACGUAGCGAAAGCUACGCUAAUACCGCAUACGAUCUACGGAUGAAAGCGGGGGAUCGCAAGACCUCGCGCGAUUGGAGCGGCCGAUAUCAGAUUAGGUAGUUGGUGAGGUAAAGGCUCACCAAGCCGACGAUCUGUAGCUGGUCUGAGAGGACGACCAGCCACACUGGGACUGAGACACGGCCCAGACUCCUACGGGAGGCAGCAGUGGGGAAUUUUGGACAAUGGGCGCAAGCCUGAUCCAGCAAUGCCGCGUGCAGGAUGAAGGCCUUC